rnacentral:rRNA from 1 species
UACGGAGGGGGCUAGCGUUGUUCGGAAUUACUGGGCGUAAAGGGCGCGUAGGCGGGAAAUUAAGUGAGAAGUGAAAGGCUGGGGCUUAACCCCAUGCAGUGCUCCUCAUACUGGUUUUCUUGAGGGUGGUAGAGAGAAGUGGAAUGGCUGGUGUAGCGGUGAAAUUCGUAGAUAUUCGCAAGAACACCAGUGGCGAAGGCGGCUCACUGGCCCGGUACUGACGCUGAGGUGCGAAAGCGUGGGGAGCAAACAGG